UAUAAAGUGGCGAACGGCUGAGUAACACGUGGGCAACCUGCCCUUUGCACUGGGAUAGCCUCGGGAAACCGAGGUUAAUACCGGAUACUCCAUAUUUGUGCAUGGCGAAUAUGGGAAAGCUCCGGCGGCAAAGGAUGGGCCCGCGGCCUGUUAGCUAGUUGGUGGGGUAGUGGCCUACCAAGGCAAUGAUGGGUAGCCGGGUUGAGAGACCGACCGGCCAGAUUGGGACUGAGACACGGCCCAGACUCCUACGGGAGGCAGCAGCC
rnacentral:rRNA from 1 species